rnacentral:rRNA from 1 species
GAAAGUGGCUACAGCGUGAGUGAUACUAACAAGUUGUACGCAGCAAAGACGACACAGAGCUUGCUCUACCGUCUUUGUUGAGUAGCGAACGGGUGAGUAACGCGUGGGUAACCUGCCUUAUAGCGGGGGAUAACUAUUGGAAACGAUAGCUAAUACCGCAUAACAAUAGAGAUUGCAUAAUCUUUAUUUGAAAGUGCCAACUGGUACACUAUGAGAUGGACCCGCGUUGUAUUAGCUAGUUGGUAGUGUAAUGGACUACCAAGGCGAUGAUACAUAGCCGACCUGAGAGGGUGAUCGGCCACAUUGGGACUGAGACACGGCCCAAACUCCUACGGGAGGCAGCAGUAGGGAAUCUUCGGCAAUGGACGAAAGUCUGACCGAGCAACGCCGCGUGAGUGAAGAAGGUUUUCGGAUCGUAAAACUCUGUUGUUAGAGAAGAAUGUUGAUUAGAGUGGAAAAUUAAUCAAGUGACGGUAUCUAACCAGAAAGGGACGGCUAACUACGUGCCAGCAGCCGCGGUAAUACGUAGGUCCCGAGCGUUGUCCGGAUUUAUUGGGCGUAAAGCGAGCGCAGGUGGUUUAAUAAGUCUGAUGUAAAAGGCAGUGGCUCAACCAUUGUGUGCAUUGGAAACUGUUAGACUUGAGUGCAGUAGAGGAGAGUGGAAUUCCAUGUGUAGCGGUGAAAUGCGUAGAUAUAUGGAGGAACACCGGUGGCGAAAGCGGCUCUCUGGACUGUCACUGACACUGAGGCUCGAAAGCGUGGGUAGCAAACAGGAUUAGAUACCCUGGUAGUCCACGCCGUAAACGAUGAGUGCUAGUUGUUUGGGGCUAUCCAGCCCUAAGUGACGCAGCAAACGCAUUAAGCACUCCGCCUGGGGAGUACGACCGCAAGGUUG